CAGAAACUCUGCAAAUGGCUUGUACAACUCUUAAUGGCACUCGAUUAUCUGCAUUCCAAUCAUAUCCUUCACCGUGAUGUCAAGUGUUCUAACAUAUUCUUGACAAAAGAUCAAGACAUACGGCUUGGUGACUUUGGACUUGCUAAGGUUCUAACUUCUGAUGAUCUGACAUCCUCUGUAAGUUUUAAUCAGUUCC